AUUGAACGCUGGCGGCAUGCCUUACACAUGCAAGUCGAACGGCAGCACGGGUGCUUGCACCUGGUGGCGAGUGGCGAACGGGUGAGUAAUACAUCGGAACAUGUCCUGUAGUGGGGGAUAGCCCGGCGAAAGCCGGAUUAAUACCGCAUACGAUCUACGGAUGAAAGCGGGGGACCUUCGGGCCUCGCGCUAUAGGGUUGGCCGAUGGCGGUUUAGCUAGUUGGUGGGGUAAAGGCCUACCAAGGCGACGAUCAGUAGCUGGUCUGAGAGGACGACCAGCCACACUGGGACUGAGACACGGCCCAGACUCCUACGGGAGGCAGCAGUGGGGAAUUUUGGACAAUGGGCGAAAGCCUGAUCCAGCAAUGCCGAGUGUGUGAAGAAGGCCUUCGGGUUGUAAAGCACUUUUGUCCGGAAAGAAAUCCUUGGCCCUAAUACGGUCGGGGGAUGACGGUACCGGAAGAAUAAGCACCGGCUAACUACGUG
rnacentral:rRNA from 1 species